UACGUAGGGUGCGAGCGUUAAUCGGAAUUACUGGGCGUAAAGUGUACGCAGGCGGCCGCGCAAGUCGAGUGUGAAAGCCCCGGGCUUAACUUGAGAAUUGCGCUCGAAACUACGUGGCUGGAGUGUGGCAGAGGAAGGUGGAAUUCCAGGUGUAGCGGUGAAAUGCGUAGAGAUCUGGAGGAACACCGAUGGCGAAGGCAGCCUUCUGGGCCAACACUGACGCUCAUGCACGAAAGCGUGGGGAGCAAACAGG
rnacentral:rRNA from 1 species